UAGGGAAUCUUCCGCAAUGGACGCAAGUCUGACGGAGCAACGCCGCGUGAGUGAAGAAGGAUUUCGGUUCGUAAAACUCUGUUGUUAGAGAAGAACAGCGCAUAGAGUAACUGUUAUGCGUGUGACGGUAUCUAACCAGAAAGCCACGGCUAACUACGCGCCAGCAGCCGCGGUAAUACGUAGGUGGCAAGCGUUGUCCGGAUUUAUUGGGCGUAAAGCGAGCGCAGGCGGUCAAUUAAGUCUGAUGUGAAAGCCCCCGGCUCAACCGGGGAGGGUCAUUGGAAACUGGUUGACUUGAGUGCAGAAGAGGAGAGUGGAAUUCCAUGUGUAGCGGUGAAAUGCGUAGAUAUAUGGAGGAACACCAGUGGCGAAGGCGACUCUCUGGUCUGUAACUGACGCUGAGGCUCGAAAGCGUGGGUAGCAAACAGG
rnacentral:rRNA from 1 species